UUAAAGUCAGUGUGUUCUCUAUUUAUGCUAGAAGUUAACAUUAGUUUAUUAAUUAUUUAGUGAAUACAGUGUGUUUGAAAAUUAAAUAGAAAUGUUGACAAUAAGGGAAAUAUUGCAAAAUACAUAAAUAUUCCUUCCAACAGGUAUAUCCUGCAUUUGUGCCAACAAAUAUUGGUGCCUAUUCUUUAAGCUUAUAUUACACGUUAUAGCCAUGUGAGACUCUGCAGCUAAUAUUAGUCCUCUUUAUAGUACAGUAAGUUCUUAAGGGAAAUUAAUGAUUGUACUAGUUAUUUUAUGUCACAGUAAAUCAGAUUGCGUGUGAUAAGGCAGAACGGUCUAAGUCAUUAAACAGUGAUCUGAUGUUUGAGCCACAAAGCUUCUGUGUUGGAAAUAUUUGGUAUAUCCUGCAUUUGUGCCAACAAAUAUUAGAGCCUAUUCUUUGCACUUCUGUAGUAUGAAUGCUUUUAUUACAGUUAUAGCCAUGUGAGACUCUGCAGCUAAUGUUCAUAAAAGCUUGAAGAAAUUGAGGAUUUUACUAGUUAUUUUAUGUCACAGUAAAUUGGAUUGUGUGUGAAGAGGCUCAACUGUCUGAAUCAUUAAACAGUGACCUGAUGUAUUGUUUCCUUUCUUUAGACUGCUGAUCUGAUCGUCUCAAGUCUGAGUGAACAGAUCUUUGGUUUUGCCUUUUCUGACUGCUGAUCUGAUCGUCUCAAGUCUGGUGGCCUGCUGCAGAAGCUCUCUCUCUCUCUCUCUAUCAUUAACAAGCCAUUCAGUCUGUCCUAUCACUCUCCCCACUCGAUCUAUUUUGACAAGCCGUUCUAUCUUGCUUCACUCUAUCCUACAAGCUCUAUCUAAGUUAUCAAAAAUCACGUUUUUAACUGGAAUCAAAUUUUGAAUGGAAUCAAGUUUUGUCUGGCGAAAUCAAGUUUUGACAUGGCCCCAUUUUUGGGAAAUUGAAGUUACCAGUACUUCAUCGAUCUGUUACAGAAUUCUGAGAGAUCUCUGCUCUCACUGCUCCUUCUUUCCUGUCGUUAAACUCUCUCACAUCCAGUCUUUUUGCUGGAAAUUACACGUAGAAAGUUGAAAUUACAAUAAUAGAAUUACAGUACAGUAGAAACUAUUUACACAAUUUUAAUUUUUACUUGGAACACUUUGGAAUAAAUACUGAUAGUUUGGCUUAGAGGUGCAAUUACUUGGAUACAUUAUAUAAAAUUUACACCUUAAAGGUUUUUUGUAAUAAGAUAAACUUGUUAUUUUAUACGACACAUUCAGACUGCUGUAUUCACAAAAAUAUUAAACUAGAUAACUUCAGAUACAUUUUGCUAGUCUGUUUCAUUGACUGUAACAUUUGACUAUAGUAGGUUUAUACUAUUAUUAUUUAGGGACAUUUCUGUUACUUAGUGUUCAGACACAAUUGCCAUCGAGAAGCUGCCCUGAGGACCCAGACUUCCUGUUUCCUGACUGCUGCAGAACAUCCAGCUGAAGAAUCCUCAUCGCCUGUCAUCUGAUCACCACAUCACCACAGCUGUUUAUAUUUGCUUUACAUUUUAGAUAUCUGAAAGAUUUACACACGCUCUACUUAAAAACUAAGACUUUUAUUAUAGCCUGUUGAUUGAUUGUGAUUUAUUCUGUAUAUCCCUUUACAGAAGCUAAGAUCUAGUCAUUAACAAGUCUGGUUAAAAUAUCAGAAGUAAAAAUAUUCUGUUUUGGAAAAAGCUACAAUAAAUCUGAGCCAAGUGUUUUCAAAGAA